rnacentral:rRNA from 1 species
UACGGAGGGUGCGAGCGUUGUCCGGAAUCACUGGGCGUAAAGGGCGCGUAGGCGGCCUGAUAAGUAGGGGGUGAAAUCCUGCGGCUUAACCGCAGGGCUGCCUUCUAAACUGUCAGGCUAGAGCACAGUAGAGGCAGGUGGAGUUCCCGGUGUAGCGGUGGAAUGCGUAGAGAUCGUAAGGAAGGCCAGUGGCGAAGGCGAGUUCCUGGACAGUGACUGACGCUGAGGCACGAAGGCCAGGGGAGCAAACGGG